rnacentral:rRNA from 1 species
GACGAACGCUGGCGGAGUGCUUAACACAUGCAAGUCGAGCGGCGCGGCGAACGGGUGAGUAACGCGUGAGUAACUGCCCCCCUCUCUGGGCUCACCGUUGGAAACGGCUGCUAAUACCGGCUAGCGGGGGAUGACUCGCGUACUAUCAGCUUGUUGGGGGGGUAGUGGCCUACCAAGGCGACGACUGGUAGCCGGCCUGAGAGGGCGACCGGCCACAGUGGGCUGAGAUACGGCCCAAACUCCUACUGGAGGCAGCAGUGUGGAAUAUUGCACAAUGGGGGAAACCCUGAGGCAGCAACGCGCGGGCGUGAUGACGGCCUUCGGGUUGUAAACCGCUUUCAGCCAUGACGCGGUAGUGGCAGAAGAAGCACCGGCUAACUACGUGCCAGCCGCCGCGGUAAUAC